rnacentral:lncRNA from 1 species
AAUGGUUUUCCUUUGUGCCUUAGUUUUGCAUUGUACAUGUAUUCAUGUUUGCCUCCCUAGGCAGAUGGAAUUUUCUGAAGGCAGGAACUCUGCACCCCUCAGGACCCAGCAGAGCUACCUGAUGGAGGUGUUUAGUUUUCAUGGAAGCUGAGUGAAGAAUGAGUCACUAACCAAUGUCAGCGGCUCUGCCAAUUGCCCAGAUCCUUGCUCUGGCCCAGGCCAUGGAACUUCACAGCUUCCUGCUGUAUUGGACCAACUCGGCGGGUCUUAAGCCUGCCUGCACCAACUUGCCCACUUCCUGUGAGUUUGGUGGACUCUGGAGAAUUGGCCUCCCUGUGCCCUAACUUUUGAAACUGGGCAGCCUGAGGUGAGUGUCCUUGCACCAUCCCAAACCAGGGAAUUUGGGAUCAUUGCUCCCACCAGCCAAGGAACUUCACAGCUUCCUGCCACAUUCACCCUACCACGCAGGACUUCGGCCUGCCUGCCCCAUCCGCAGUGACCCUCUCUUAAUCCAGGAAACUUGGUGGCCAGAGAAGCAGGAGCUGAGGGCAUAGAAAAAAAUCUCCAACAGGCAGAAUGGAUCAAGAAAUAAAAUCCAACCAUAUGCUGUCUACAAGAAACCCAUCUAACCCAAAAGGAUAGUCACAAACUGAAAGUGAAAGGAUGGAAAACAAUAUUUAAUGCAAUAGGAACCAAAAAAAGUGGGGGUAGCUAUUCU